UGGUGGAGUGAUUUGUCUGGUUAAUUCCGUUAACGAACGAGACCUGGACCUGCUAAAUAGUUUGUGCAAGGCUUUGUCCUUGUAGCUAACUUCUUAGAGGGACUAUUGGUGCGUAGCCAGUGGAAGUUCCAGGCAAUAACA
rnacentral:rRNA from 1 species